rnacentral:rRNA from 1 species
AUACGUAGGUGGCAAGCGUUGUCCGGAUUUACUGGGCGUAAAGGGAGCGUAGGUGGAUAUUUAAGUGGGAUGUGAAAUACCCGGGCUUAACCUGGGAGCUGCAUUCCAAACUGGAUAUCUAGAGUGCAGGAGAGGAAAGGAGAAUUCCUAGUGUAGCGGUGAAAUGCGUAGAGAUUAGGAAGAAUACCAGUGGCGAAGGCGCCUUUCUGGACUGUAACUGCCACUGAGGCUCGAAGGCGGGGGGAGCAAACAGGAUUAGAUGCCCUGGUAGUCCACGCCGUAAACGAUGAAUACUAGGUGUAGGGGUUGUCAUGACCUCUGUGCCGCCGCCAACGCAUUAAGUAUUCCGCCUGGGGAGUACGGUCGCAAGAUUAAAACUCAAAUGAAUUGGCGGGG